rnacentral:tRNA from 1 species
GCUCCCGUAGCUCAGGGGAUAGAGCGUUGCCCUCCGGAGGCAAAAGCGCAGGUUCGAAUCCUGCCGGGAGCG